rnacentral:rRNA from 1 species
UACGAAGGGGGCAAGCGUUGUCCGGAAUUACUGGGCGUACAGCGCGCGCAGGCGGACCGCCACGUGCCGUGUGACAAGCCACUGCUCAACAGUGGAGGGCCAUGGUACACGAGCAGUCUGGAGGCAGGGAGAGGGAUGUGGAAUGCCCGGUGGAGCGGUGAAAUGCGUAGAGAUCGGGCGGAACACCAGCGGCGAAGGCGGCAUCCUGGUCCUGUUCUGACGCUGAGGCGCGAGAGCGUGGGGAGCGAACUGG